UCCGAGUUGACCCCGGCAGUCUCCUACGAGUCCCCACCAUAACGUGCUGGCAACAUAGGACGAGGGUUGCGCUCGUUGCGGGACUUAACCCAACAUCUCACGACACGAGCUGACGACAACCAUGCACCACCUGUGCACGGCCCUUACGGACCCUCCAUCUCUGAAGGAUUUCCGUGCAUAUCAAGCCUAGGUAAGGUUCUUCGCGUUGCAUCGAAUUAAGCAGCAUGCUCCGCCGCUUGUGCGGGCCCCCGUCAAUUCCUUUGAGUUUUAACCUUGCGGCCGUACUCCCCAGGCGGAUAACUUAAUGCGUUAGCUGCGCCACCCAAGCACCAAGUGCCCGGACAGCUAGUUAUCAUCGUUUACGGCAUGGACUAC
rnacentral:misc_RNA from 1 species